rnacentral:rRNA from 1 species
CCUACGGGAGGCAGCAGUGGGGGAUAUUACACAAUGGGGGGAACCCUGAUGCAGCGACGCCGCGUGGGUGAAGAAGCGCCUCGGCGCGUAAAGCCCUGUCAGCAGGGAAGAAAAUGACGGUACCUGAAGAAGAAGCCCCGGCUAACUACGUGCCAGCAGCCGCGGUAAUACGGAGGGGGCAAGCGUUAUCCGGAUUUACUGGGUGUAAAGGGGGCGCAGACGGCGAUGCAAGCCAGGAGUGAAAGCCCGGGGCCCAACCCCGGGACUGCUCUUGGAACUGCGUGGCUAGAGUGCAGGAGGGGCAGGCGGAAUUCCUGGUGUAGCGGUGAAAUGCGUAGAUAUCAGGAGGAACACCGGUGGCGAAGGCGGCCUGCUGGACUGCAACUGACGUUGAGGCCCGAAAGCGUGGGGAGCAAACAGGAUUAGAUACCCUUGUAGUC